AGAGUUUGAUCCUGGCUCAGGAUGAACGCUAGCGGCAGGCAAUCGUGCGGGCGAACGUGAUUGUUGUAGCAAUAUGACAUGAAAGUGGCGCACGGGUGCGUAACACGUAUGCAAUCUACCUUUAACAGGAUAAUAGCUUCGAGAAAUCGGAAUUAAUACUCCAUAACAUCAUUUGGUGGCAUCAUCGAAUGAUCAAACCUCCGGGGGUUAAAGAUGAGCGUGCGCAACAUUAGCUAGUUGGUAAGGUAAUGGCUUACCAAGGCUACGAUGUUUAGGGGGUCUGAGAGGAUGAUCCCCCACACUGGUACUGAGACACGGACCAGACUCCUACGGGAGGCAGCAGUAGGGAAUAUGGGUUAUGGAGGAAACUCUGACCCAGCCAUGCCGCGUGCAGGAUGACGGCCCUCUGGGUUGUAAACUGUUUUUAUACGGGAAGAAAAAGCACUACGUGUAGUGUACUGACGGUACCGUAAGAAUAAGGAUCGGCUAACUCCGUGCCAGCAGCCGCGGUAAUACGGAGGAUCCAAGCGUUGUCCGGAUUUAUUGGGUUUAAAGGGUGCGUAGGCGGAUCUUUAAGUCAGUGGUGAAAGCCUGCAGCUUAACUGUAGAACAGCCAUUGAAACUGAAGAUCUUGAAUUUGGUUAAAGUAGGCGGAAUGUAUCAUGUAGCGGUGAAAUGCUUAGAUAUGAUACAGAACACCGAUAGCGAAGGCAGCUUGCUGAACCAAUAUUGACGCUGAGGCACGAAAGCGUGGGGAGCGAACAGGAUUAGAUACCCUGGUAGUCCACGCCCUAAACGUUGAUUACUCGUUGUUGGCGAUAUACUGUCAGCGACCAAGCUAAAGCGUUAAGUAAUCCACCUGGGAAGUACGACCGCAAGGUUGAAACUCAAAGGAAUUGACGGGGGCCCGCACAAGCGGAGGAGCAUGUGGUUUAAUUCGAUGAUACGCGAGGAACCUUACCUGGGCUUGAAAGUUAGUGACUUUCUGUGAAAGCAGAAUUCUCUUCGGAGCACAAAACUAGGUGCUGCAUGGCUGUCGUCAGCUCGUGCCGUGGGGUGUUGGGUUAAGUCCCGCAACGAGCGCAACCCCUUUCUUUAGUUGCCAUCAGGUUAUGCUGGGGACUCUAAAGAUACUGCCUACGUAAGUAGUGAGGAAGGUGGGGAUGACGUCAAGUCAUCAUGGCCCUUACGUCCAGGGCUACACACGUGCUACAAUGGGCGACACAAAUGGUUGCUACUCAGUAAUGAGGUGCUAAUCCCAAAAAGUCGUUCUCAGUUCGGAUUGAGGUCUGCAACUCGACCUCAUGAAGCUGGAUUCGCUAGUAAUCGCAUAUCAGCAAUGAUGCGGUGAAUACGUUCCCGGGCCUUGUACACACCGCCCGUCAAGCCAUGAAAGAUGGGAGUACCUGAAGUCGAUAACCGCAAGGAGUCGCCCAGGGCUCCUUGAUUGGGGCUAAGUCGUAACAAGGUA
rnacentral:rRNA from 1 species